UGGAGAAAAGCAGGGGAUCGUAAGACCUUGCGCUUUUGGAGCGGCCGAUGUCUGAUUAGCUAGUUGGUGGGGUAAUGGCCUACCAAAGCUUCGAUCAGUAGCUGGUCUGAGAGGACGGCCAGCCACACUGGGACUGAGACACGGCCCAGACUCCUACGGGAGGCAGCAGUGGGGAAUUUUGGACAAUGGGCGCAAGCCUGAUCCAGCCAUGCCGCGUGAGUGAAGAAGGCCUUCGGGUUGUAAAGCUCUUUCAGCCGGGGAGAAAAGGCUGCGAUUAAUAAUCGCAGUUCAUGACGGUACCGGAAGAAGAAGCACCGGCUAACUACGUGCCAGCAGCCGCGGUAAUACGUAGGGUGCGAGCGUUAAUCGGAAUUACUGGGCGUAAAGGGUGCGCAGGCGGUUUUGUAAGCCAGAUGUGA
rnacentral:rRNA from 1 species